GACGAACGCUGGCGGCGUGCUUAACACAUGCAAGUCGAACGGAAAGGCCCUGCUUUUGUGGGGUGCUCGAGUGGCGAACGGGUGAGUAACACGUGAGUAACCUGCCCUUGACUUUGGGAUAACUUCAGGAAACUGGGGCUAAUACCGGAUAGGAGCUCCUGCUGCAUGGUGGGGGUUGGAAAGUUUCGGCGGUUGGGGAUGGACUCGCGGCUUAUCAGCUUGUUGGUGGGGUAGUGGCUUACCAAGGCUUUGACGGGUAGCCGGCCUGAGAGGGUGACCGGCCACAUUAGGACUGAGAUACGGCCCAGACUCCUACGGGAGGCAGCAGUGGGGAAUAUUGCACAAUGGGCGGAAGCCUGAUGCAGCAACGCCGCGUGCGGGAUGACGGCCUUCGGGUUGUAAACCGCUUUAGCCUGUGACGAAGCGUGAGUGACGGUAAUGGGUAAAGAAGCACCGGCUAACUACGUG
rnacentral:rRNA from 1 species